GACGAACGCUGGCGGCGUGCUUAACACAUGCAAGUCGAACGGAAAGGCCCUGCUUUUGUGGGGUGCUCGAGUGGCGAACGGGUGAGUAACACGUGAGUAACCUGCCCUUGACUUUGGGAUAACUUCAGGAAACUGGGGCUAAUACCGGAUAGGAGCUCCUGCUGCAUGGUGGGGGUUGGAAAGUUUCGGCGGUUGGGGAUGGACUCGCGGCUUAUCAGCUUGUUGGUGGGGUAGUGGCUUACCAAGGCUUUGACGGGUAGCCGGCCUGAGAGGGUGACCGGCCACAUUGGGACUGAGAUGAGGCCCAGCCUCCUACGGGAGGCAGCGGUGGGGAAUAGUGCACAAUGGGCGGAAGGCUGGUGCAACAACGCCGCGUGCGGGAUAACAGCCUUCGGGUUGGAAACCGCUUUUGCCUGUGACGAAGCGUUAAUGACGGUAAUGGGUAAAGAAGCACCGGCUAACUACGUG
rnacentral:rRNA from 1 species